rnacentral:rRNA from 1 species
AGGGCACCACCAGGAGUGGAGCCUGCGGCUUAAUUUGACUCAACACGGGAAAACCCACCCGGCCCGGACACUGGAAGGAUUGACAGAUUGAGAGCUCUUUCUUGAUUCAGUGGGUGGUGGUGCAUGGCCGUUCUUAGUUGGUGGAGUGAUUUGUCUGGUUAAUUCCGAUAACGAACGAGACUCUAGCCUACUAAAUAGAUCGUCGGCUUACAAACGCCGGCGAGACUUCUUAGAGGGACAGGCGGUGAUUCAACCGCACGAAACAGAGCAAUAACAGGUCUGUGAUGCCCUUAGAUGUCCGGGGCCGCACGCGCGCUACACUGAAGUGAUCAGCGUGCUUUUUCAACCUACUCUGUCAAGAGUGGGGAACCCAAUGAACCUUCUUCGUGAUUGGGAUAGGGGAUUGUAAUUAUUCCCCUUGAACGAGGAAUUCCCAGUAAGCGCGAGUCAUAAGCUCGCGUUGAUUACGUCCCUGCCCUUUGUACACACCGCCCGUCGCUACUACCGAUUGAAUGUUUU